GCAUUGCUGAGGAGUCCCAUAAUAGAACGAAACGGCUGUCCAGUGC
rnacentral:hammerhead_ribozyme from 1 species